rnacentral:rRNA from 1 species
GGCAGCACGGAAYUYCGGUCYUGGUGGCGAGUGGCGAACGGGUGAGUAAUGUAUCGGAGCGUACCCAGUAGCGGGGGAUAACUACUCGAAAGAGUAGCUAAUACCGCAUACGCCCUUCGGGGGAAAGGGGGGGAUCUUCGGACCUCCCACUAUUGGAGCGGCUGAUAUCGGAUUAGCUAGUUGGUGAGGUAAAGGCUCACCAAGGCGACGAUCCGUAGCUGGUUUGAGAGGACGACCAGCCACACUGGAACUGAGACACGGUCCAGACUCCUACGGGAGGCAGCAGUGGGGAAUUUUGGACAAUGGGGGAAACCCUGAUCCAGCCAUUCCGCGUGUGUGAAGAAGGCCUUCGGGUUGUAAAGCACUUUUGGCGGGAAAGAAACGGCGUCGACUAAUACUCGGCGUAACUGACGGUACCCGCAGAAUAAGCACCGGCUAACUACGUG